UUUUUUUUUUUUUUUUUCUGAGACAGAGUCUUUCUUUGUAACCCAGGCUGGAGUGUAGUGGCACAAUUACAGCUCACUGAAGUCUCAACUUCUCAGAUUAGGUGAUCCUCAACUUCUCAGAUUCAGGUGAUCCUCCCACCUCAGCCUCUUGAGUAGCUGGGACUACAGGCGUGCCGCUACCACACCUGGCUAAUUUUUAAUUUUUAUUUUUUUGUAGAGACAGGGUUUUGCCAUGUUUCCCAGGCUGGUCUUGAACUCCUGGGCUCAAGUGAUCUGCCCAUCUCGGCCUCCCAAAGUGCUGGGACUACAGGCAUGGGACACCACUCCCAGCCUCAGGCACUGUUCUGUCUCUGCCAUCACAGAACUCAUAGUCCACUCAGGUGGAGAUAUACAAUCAGUAAGCAGACAAGGAAAUCGUAUGGCAUAUGGAGAAAAACAAAGCAGGAAAGAGAACAGUGAGUCCUGAGGAAUGGGACUGGUGGAGAGAUGUAACAAUGGGAUGGAUUUGGGAGAAAUGUAAGGGGUAAAAAAGUCAGGCCUUGAUUAUGAACUGAAUCUGAUGGACCAGAGAGAGGAAGGUGUCCAGGCAACUCCCACAUAUCUGGUUUGUGCAGCCAGAAUGGUAGUGUCAUUCAUUGAUAUGGGCAAUACCGGAAGAGGCCCAGAACCCUUUUUCAGAGUGGGUGGGGAAGGAGGACAUGUGGACACUGCAAGUUUAGUUUCAGACAUCCCUUUGGGGUAGUGAUGUGGUGAUGACAAAAUGGUAGUUGAGGGGUGCACAGCAGGCGCGGUGGCUCUUGCCUGUAAUCCCAGCACUUUGAGAGGCUGAGGCAGGUGAAUCACUUGAGGCUACGAGUUCGAAACCAGCCUGGGCAACAUGGUGAAACCACAUCUCUACUAAGCAUGCACCAGUAAUCCCAGCUACUUGGGAGGUUGAGGUGGGAAAAUUGCUUGAACCCAGGAGGCAGAGGUUGCAGUGAGCCGAGAUCACGCCACUGCACUCCAGCCUGGACGACAGAGUGAGACUCCAUCUCAAAAAAAAAAAAAAGGAUAGUUGGACAUCCACAUCUAGAGUUCAUAGGGGAGGGCUGGAUUGGCAAUUUGGGAGCCAGAAACAUUUAGAUGGUAACCUAAGUGUUGGGCAUGGAUGAGCUUGCCCAUGGCAAGCAUGGAGUGAGAAGAGGGUCUGUCCAAAAGGCACAUCCAAAUGCAAACUCCAUAUGCCCCCUUUGUCCUCAACCUGCUCUUCCCGCUCUGGUUCACUGGCAGCUCUGUUCUCAGCAUGGAGCCGUUCAUUGUUUCUUUCUAUAUUUCGCAUCCCACAUCUUGUCUGUUUUGAAAUCCUGCUAGUUCCAUCUUCAAAACACAUCCAGAAUUAAUCCCUCUCUCCACUUCUACUGCUACCAUAUUGAUCAGAAUCAUGCUUGUCUCUUACUUAGACAUUCCAAGCAUCUCCC
rnacentral:lncRNA from 1 species